rnacentral:rRNA from 1 species
UAGGGAAUUUUCGGCAAUGGGCGAAAGCCUGACCGAGCAACGCCGCGUGAGUGAAGAAGGCCUUCGGGUUGUAAAGCUCUGUUGUGAAGGAAGAACGGCUCAUACAGGGAAUGGUAUGGGAGUGACGGUACUUUACCAGAAAGCCACGGCUAACUACGUGCCAGCAGCCGCGGUAAUACGUAGGUGGCGAGCGUUAUCCGGAAUUAUUGGGCGUAAAGGGUGCGCAGGCGGUUUUUUAAGUUUAAGGUGAAAGCGUGGGGCUUAACCCCAUAUAGCCUUAGAAACUGAGAGACUAGAGUACAGGAGAGGGCAAUGGAAUUCCAUGUGUAGCGGUAAAAUGCGUAGAUAUAUGGAGGAACACCAGUGGCGAAGGCGGUUGCCUGGCCUGUAACUGACGCUCAUGCACGAAAGCGUGGGGAGCAAAUAGG